rnacentral:rRNA from 1 species
UGGGGAAUUUUGGACAAUGGGGGAAACCCUGAUCCAGCCAUCCCGCGUGUGCGAUGAAGGCCUUCGGGUUGUAAAGCACUUUUGGCAGGAAAGAAACGUCAUGGGUUAAUACCCCGUGAAACUGACGGUACCUGCAGAAUAAGCACCGGCUAACUACGUGCCAGCAGCCGCGGUAAUACGUAGGUUGCUAGCGUUAAUCGGAAUUACUGGGCGUAAAGCGUGCGCAGGUGGUUCGGAAAGAAAGAUGUGAAAUCCCAGAGCUCAACUUUAGAACUGCAUUUUUAACUACCGGGAUAGAGUGUGUCAGAGGGAGGUGAAAUUCCGCGUGGAGCAGUGAAAUGCGUAGAUAUGCGGAGAAACACCGAUGGCGAAGACAGCCUCGUGGGAUAACACUGACGCUCAUGCACGAAAGCGUGGGGAGCAAACAGG